CAUGAGACGCAAGUAACCUGACUGGUGGGAUGGCUUGUGCCUGCACCAUCGACCGACCAUGAUCUUCUGUGAAAGGUUUGAGUACGAGCAUACCUGUUGGGACCCGAAAGAUGGUGAACUAUGCCUGAGCAGGGCGAAGCCAGAGGAAACUCUGGUGGAGGCUCGUAGAUGUGCUGACGUGCAAAUCGCUUUUCGGACUUGGGUAUAGGGGCGAAAGACUACUAGUAGCUGGUUCCCUCCGAAGUUUCCCCCAGGAUAGCUGGAGCUUGAUCAGUUUUAUCAGGUAAAGCGAAUGAUUAGAGGUACCGGGGAUGAAACAUCCUCGACCUAUUCUCAAACUUUAAAUAGGUAAGACGUCUGGGUUGCUUAAUUGAACCCAGGCAUUCAAUGAGAGCUCCAAGUGGGCCAUUUGUGGGGAGGCAGAACUGGCGAUGCGGGGAUGAACCGAAAGCUGAAUGAAUGCAAUUCA
rnacentral:rRNA from 1 species